GCUUCAGAUCGGGUUCAACCACUGGAAACGGUGGCUAAUACCGGAUAUGCCGGAAGGUGAAAGAUUAAUUGCCUGAAGAUGAGCUCGCGACUGAUUAGCUAGUAGGUGUGGUAAGAGCGCACCUAGGCGACGAUCAGUAGCUGGUCUGAGAGGAUGAUCAGCCACACUGGGACUGAGACACGGCCCAGACUCCUACGGGAGGCAGCAGUGGGGAAUUUUCCGCAAUGGGCGAAAGCCUGACGUAGCAAUACCGCGUGAGGGAGGAAGGCUCUUGGGUUGUAAACCUCUUUUCUCAAGGAAUAAGAAAUGAAGGUACUUGAGGAAUAAGCAUCGGCUAACUCCGUGCCAGCAGCCGCGGUAAUACGGAGGAUGCAAGCGUUAUCCGGAAUGAUUGGGCGUAAAGAGUCCGUAGGUGGGCGAUUCAAGUCUGCUGUCAAAGCACAAGGCUCAACCUUGUAAAGGCAGUGGAAACUGAAUGGCUAGAGUGCGUUCGGGGCAGAAGGAAUUCCUGGUGUAGCGGUGAAAUGCGUAGAGAUCAGGAAGAACACCGGUGGCGAAAGCGUUCUGCUAGGCCCGCAACUCAAUCCUUUACCAGACGCAUCAUGA
rnacentral:rRNA from 1 species